rnacentral:lncRNA from 1 species
AGGAGCUGACUCUGAGAAGGCCAUGAGCCGGGGUACAGGAAAGCCGCUCCUGUCCCAGACCCUGGAGGACUUCAGCAUCCGCACACUGUACGAUAAGCUCGAGGACCAGAACCUGCAUGUUGCGUCCCAGCUGAGCAAGCACAGGAGUGAUGCCCUGGCCUUCUACAGGGCCACUGCGCAGCAGCUCCAGGGACUCCAGGACUUUCUGCAGGGCCUCAGCAGGACUGAGCAGCAAGCUCUAGGCAGGGGUGGAGACCCUGAAACAGAUCCCAAAGCCACUGCCAGAGAAGACACUGGGCAGAGCCAGGAACCAUGGGACAGCCACACUGCAGCUUCUCAAAGGCAGUGCCAGCAGCCUCCUCCAGGCCGCAGUCCCAGCGCCACUACCCUGGGCUUUCAGCUGGAGCUUGACCAAGCCAUCGCAGCCCUGGCAUCGGCACUUCCUCAGGCACAGGGACGGUCAGCCAGAGCCAGCAGAAAGGUGAAAGGCUGCCAGGGGGCACCUGAGCACAC